UGCAAGUCGAACGGUAGUAUGGUGCUUGCACUAUAUGAGAGUGGCGGACGGGUGAGUAACACGUAGAUAAUCUACCCUUGUGUUGGGGAUAGCUUAUGGAAACGGUAAUACCGAAUACGGUCUUAGAAUCGAUAGGGUUUUAAGAAGAAAGGUGCUACGGCAUCGCACGAGGAGGAGUCUGCGGUAGAUUAGCUAGUUGGUAAGGUAAAGGCUUACCAAGGCGACGAUCUAUAGCCGGCCUGAGAGGGUGAACGGCCACACUGGGACUGAGAACGGCCCAGACUCCUACGGGAGGCAGCAGCUAAGAAUCUUCCGCAAUGGACGAAAGUCUGACGGAGCGACGCCGCGUGAACGAAGAAGGCAGAGAUGCUGUAAAGUUCUUUUAUCAGGGAGGAAUAAUGAGAGGAGGGAAUGCCUUUCAGAUGACGUUAACUGACGAAUAAGCCCCGGCAAAUUACGUGCCAGCAGCCGCGGUAACACGUGAGGGGCGACGUUGUUCGGAAUUAUUGGGCGUAAAGGGCGCGUAGCGGUUUUGCAAGUCUGAUGUAAAAGGUGUGGGCUUAACCCGCACAAGCGUUGGAAACUGUAGAACUAGAGUAGUUGAGGGGGA
rnacentral:rRNA from 1 species